rnacentral:rRNA from 2 species
AUGACGAGUCACUACGGUGAUGAAGUAACCGAUGCUACGCUUCCAGGAAAAGCCUCUAAGCUCCAGGUAACAUCAAAUCGUACCCCAAACCGACACAGGUGGUCAGGUAGAGAAUACUCAGGCGCUUGAGAGAACUCGGGUGAAGGAACUAGGCAAAAUGGUGCCGUAACUUCGGGAGAAGGCACGCUGAUGGUAGGUGAAGUGACUUGCUCAUGGAGCUGAAAUCAGUCGAAGAUACCAGCUGGCUGCAACUGUUUAAUAAAAACACAGCACUGUGCAAACACGAAAGUGGACGUAUACGGUGUGACGCCUGCCCGGUGCCGGAAGGUUAAUUGAUGGGGUCAGCCGCAAGGCGAAGCUCUUGAUCGAAGCCCCGGUAAACGGCGGCCGUAACUAUAACGGUCCUAAGGUAGCGAAAUUCCUUGUCGGGUAAGUUCCGACCUGCACGAAUGGCGUAAUGAUGGCCAGGCUGUCUCCACCCGAGACUCAGUGAAAUUGAACUCGCUGUGAAGAUGCAGUGUACCCGCGGCAAGACGGAAAGACCCCGUGAACCUUUACUAUAGCUUGACACUGAACCUUGAGCCUUGAUGUGUAGGAUAGGUGGGAGGCUUUGAAGCGUGGACGCCAGUCUGCGUGGAGCCAACCUUGAAAUACCACCCUUUAAUGUUUGAUGUUCUAACGUGGACCCGUAAUCCGGGUUGCGGACAGUGUCUGGUGGGUAGUUUGACUGGGGCGGUCUCCUCCCAAAGCGUAACGGAGGAGCACGAAGGUUAGCUAAUCCUGGUCGGACAUCAGGAGGUUAGUGCAAAGGCAUAAGCUAGCUUGACUGCGAGAGUGACAGCUCGAGCAGGUGCGAAAGCAGGUCUUAGUGAUCCGGUGGUUCUGAAUGGAAGGGCCAUCGCUCAACGGAUAAAAGGUACUCCGGGGAUAACAGGCUGAUACCGCCCAAGAGUUCAUAUCGACGGCGGUGUUUGGCACCUCGAUGUCGGCUCAUCACAUCCUGGGGCUGAAGUAGGUCCCAAGGGUAUGGCUGUUCGCCAUUUAAAGUGGUACGCGAGCUGGGUUUAGAACGUCGUGAGACAGUUCGGUCCCUAUCUGCCGUGGGCGUUGGAAGAUUGAGAGGGGUUGCUCCUAGUACGAGAGGACCGGAGUGAACGCACCACUGGUGUACGGGUUGUGAUGCCAAUUGCAUUGCCCGGUAGCUAAGUGCGGAAGAGAUAACCGCUGAAAGCAUCUAAGCGGGAAACUUGCCUCGAGAUGAGUCUUCCCUGG